UCCUGAAAUUUUUUGAUGCGGUUGAAUAUUGAAGUGGUGGAUCAAAUAUUUAAAUAGUAAGACAAAAAAAGGAUAAAAAUUUAAAGAAUAAGAGUAUCAUAUAAUUUUGUCUGAAUGGGACGUUCUUCGUCAUACGUUUGCUUCUGAGUAUCCAUUCAACUUACCGAAAAAGUGAUUGCCCUCUCUCUGGCCGUCUCCCUAAGAAGUCACCAACACGAAAAACACACAGCUUGGCGCUCGCACACAACAAAACCCUAUUUCCCCUUUCUUCUUCACACAUUUGACAUACCACAUACACCUCUCUCUCUGUUUCAUUCCAACCCAUUCGCUAUCUUGUUUCCUCCUAGUGCAUAACUAAAUUCCCAACGCAUUCAAACGUCAUCGUUUCACUUCCACGAUCAAAUCACUGCCUAGGGAAGCAUUUCCCUAUCUGCAUCAAUCACCUGCGUGCGUAAUUGCUCUAGGGUUUUUCUGUGUUGCGCACUGAAUUCAUCUUUUCCCUCUACGGGUUCCUAUUUUAUUCUUUGUCUGCUUCCCCUCUUCUAUACUGGGUGCUGUUUUGUUCCAUUCCUAGAGGUCUGCCAUUUUUGCCAAUAGUUGUUUUUCUUUUUUUUUUUUCUUAAAUCUAUUUUCUCACCCUCUUCCUGAUGGAGAGGUGAGAGUUCUCUUUGAUUACUUUAUAGUUCUUAUAUUCAUCUUUGGUCCAAAGAUGAUGCUGGAGUGUCUGAGAGGAAGUUCUUCCUUCACAAACACUGACUUGUGUUUCAAGUCAUGGGGGUUGUUGUCUGCUUGAUUGGG